ACGGGUGAGUAAUGCAUCGGAACGUACCGAGUAAUGGGGGAUAACUAUCCGAAAGGAUAGCUAAUACCGCAUACGCUUUGAGAAGGAAAGUGGGGGCUCUUCGGACCUCACGUUAUUCGAGCGGCCGAUGUCUGAUUAGCUAGUUGGUGGGGUAAAGGCCUACCAAGGCGACGAUCAGUAGCGGGUCUGAGAGGAUGAUCCGCCACACUGGGACUGAGACACGGCCCAGACUCCUACGGGAGGCAGCAGUGGGGAAUUUUGGACAAUGGGCGCAAGCCUGAUCCAGCCAUGCCGCGUGUCUGAAGAAGGCCUUCGGGUUGUAAAGGACUUUUGUUAGGGAAGAAAAGGAUAGUGUUAAUACCAUUAUCUGCUGACGGUACCUAAAGAAUAAGCACCGGCUAACUACGUGCCAGCAGCCGCGGUAAUACGUAGGGUGCGAGCGUUAAUCGGAAUUACUGGGCGUAAAGCGAGCGCAGACGGUUUAUUAAGCAAGAUGUGAAAUCCCCGAGCUUAACUUGGGAACUGCGUUUUGAACUGGUAAGCUAGAGUAUGUCAGAGGGGGGUAGAAUUCCACGUGUAGCAGUGAAAUGCGUAGAGAUGUGGAGGAAUACCGAUGGCGAAGGCAGCCCCCUGGGAUAAUACUGACGUUCAUGCUCGAAAGCGUGGGGUAGCAAACAGGAUUAGAUACCCUGGUAGUCCACGCCCUAAACG
rnacentral:rRNA from 1 species